rnacentral:lncRNA from 1 species
UUUUUAACCCCGAAAUCAUGUGUUCAAAGAAUCUUAUAGCUUUGUCAGUUAAUUAUGUAAAUUUUAAGUAAUUGUGUAUUCCAAGUUUGAGACAAUUACUCCUCCGUUGCAGACGCGGGGACCCUCUCGUGUAAAAAAUGUUCGUCUUCUUCCUCCCUUCAUCUCUUUUGAAAUCACCUAAGUUUUGGGAAUGGUAGAAAGAGCGCGCAGUGAAACUGAGGAAGAGUUAGAUCUGAAAUUUGAUAAUUUUUGUGAGUAUUUUUGCUUUUGUUGAUCAAGUAAGUUUGAUAGUAAAAGUAAGGUAAUUAAUUGUUGCUGAAAUUUGAUCUCAACAAUGGUCUCCUGAAUACUUGAUUCUAGUUUUUUCUAUACAACAAAAACUCUAAUGGGAGAGGAAAUCAAAUCUCCAUGUGCUGCAGUGGAUGAGACAGCUCAGAGGUCUCGGGCUCAAGCCCUGCAUAUGGAAAAGUACGAGUUUGCUGUACCGGACACGGGAUGGAAAAACCAAAAAAAAUAAUCUCGGAUAAUUAAGUUUUAGCUAAUUCUAUGCUUUGGUCGAACUGAUAUUUUGCAUCCAAAUCAAUCAGAAUUAAGUUCACCAAUUUCUUCCUAUUAGUCUCUGCUGUUUCUCUGUCAUCUUGUUUGUUUUGGUUAUGUGAAGCGCCUCCUAUAUGUUAUGUGGUUAUGUGAAGCGCCUCCUAUAUGUUAUGUGGUUUUGUGAAGCGCCUCCUAUAUGUUAUGUAGUUAUGCUCAUCUGGAUACAACUCAGUUGCCAUUCCCUUGUUUGUGGAUAAUACAUUAGAGACAUCAAGCAAUCAUGUAGUGAAAAAUCUAGUUCAUGUUCCUUGAUUGUUCAAUUCUAGGAGGAUGUUUAAACAGUAAGAAAACAGUACUGAUACUAUCUACCGCAAUAUAAGUAUUCAUUGAUAUCUAUAAAAUUCUGUUUUUAGAUGAGUGUUAUCUUGUAAACUGCAACAACAGAGGACAAACAUUGAUGUUUUAAUUAUGAUCAAUUGUCUUAAGACAAAGAAUACACAAGUAUGAUUAAUGUGCAGAAGUGUAAAAUGUUAUGUCACAUUACAAAAAUAACUUACAACUACACUACUACACUCGUACAAUGACAUUUACGGAGUAUAUAGAAUCAGUUAGGAAGUGUGUAUAUAUAUAUAUUCAGAAAGAGUAGUGCUUGAAAUCCUGCACCUACUGCUUCAGUUAUGUAACUCAAUUUAUCUAUUAAUAUAUUUACAGAUUCUUUCUGUCAAAGCACAUAGUUAUCAUCUGGAAAUAAUUGGCGGUGUGGAUGUUGGAUCCUGAAGGGAGAUUACAGUUUCAAAAGCACCCACCAAAGCCUGGACCUUGCUUCUCCUGGUCUCCUCAAGCUUGGUUGCAGUCUCUUCGAU